GCAUGGAUUGAAUGAAAUGACUAUUGUCACUGAGUUGGGGCUCAAGCAUCUUCGAAACUGUCUCCGGUGCUAGGAGUUUGCCAUCGUUUUUCAGAAUAGAAAUCAGAAAUGUGAUAUAUUCCGUUGGUGUGGACCAGAGUCCAUGUCCUCCAUAGUCAUCAAAAGGUUUGAGAGGUUGCAUGAAUUCUACGACUGGUACCGGGAAUAUAUUUGUUCUGGGAGGGCCGCAAGGUGGUGUGCUUCAUUCCAAGAGGCUCAAAGAUAUUCGCCUUGAAGUACUCUUCCAAUUUCAUCCCUCCAUUCACGCGUUCGACAGCUUUUCCAGCCCAAUCGAGGCUUGCGCCAUAAACCCAACCCUCUCCAGGUUCAAAGAGCAACGGUCCUGUUACUGGUGUAGUUUUAGUGACCUCUCUCCAUUUUACUAACAAUGGAUGCCACUUGUCAUAAGCAAGCCCGGAUGUAUGGGUUAGAAGAUGACGAAGAGUUAUCUUCUUCUCGGCCUUCUUGAUAAGAGGUUCUCCUGUCUUUUCAUCGAAGCCGUACAAAAUGCCUAGAUCCGACAGCUCAGGGAGGAUACGCUCGACGUUUUCGUCUAAAUCGAUGAGUCCUUUCUCAACGCAUUGCAGAACGGCGACUGAAGUGAUGAACUUCGUGAAUGAUGCCAGCCAUAGUGGAGUAUCGACAGAGAACGGCCCUGCAUCGGUAAAUCCAAAGCUUUUGGAAUACAAAAUGUCCCCUUUUUAUAGUGAUCACAUACAAUCAUAGCAACCCCAGGCAUAACACGAUCCGGGCCAUCUGCAGUCAAAGACGAAGCAUUUUUCUCGAAAGCUUCCAUGUUUAUGCUCCCCUUUUGGGCCCUUCCCUGUUCGGAAAUGUUUUCUGGGAGACUUCAAACGGCUUCAAAUCUCAAGCUGAGAAGUUUAGAUCAAAUCAAAAAUAUAGAGACUAAACUUAUAUAUAAAAAAGGAUAUUUGGCAAGCCUCGCAUCUGAACUUCAAUCAACAGUGUCGAGCUUAUAUAUACUAUAUAU
rnacentral:sRNA from 1 species